rnacentral:tRNA from 1 species
GCUCCCGUAGCUCAGUUGGAUAGAGUGUCAGACUCCGACUCUGAAGGUCGCGCGUUCGAGUCGCGCCGGGUGCACCA